AACGCACAUUGCGCCCGCUAGUAUUCUGGCGGGCAUGCCUGUCUGAGCGUCAUUUCAACCCUCGCCCCCGGCUUCUUGCCGGGAGCGGUGCUGGGGAUCGGCCGCCCGUCACUGGGAGGCCGGCCCUGAAAUAGAGUGGCGACCACGCCGUGUGCUCCUCUGCGUAGUAGUAAAUCACCUCGCAGGCGGACAGCGGUGCGGCCUGCCGUAAAACCCCCAACUCUUUCAAUGGUUGACCUCAGAUCAGGUAGGAAUACCCGCUGAACUUAA
rnacentral:misc_RNA from 1 species